AAGGUAAACUGGAGGUUCAAUUGGGAUGCAAUGAAGAGCCCCUGACAAGCAUAUUCUUCAAAGCCUCCCAUGGUGUAACUGAAGAUACGAUAUGUGAAGUAGCCCUAGCUUGCCUGCUCAAGUGGACAAGAGCACUUUCACCAAAGGCCCACAUUGGCCUGAAAUAUCUUAUUUUGCCCAAGGCGUACUCAUGCCUGCACUCUCUUGUGGCCAUCAUUAGCACUUCUUCUCUUGAUUUUGUGAGCCUGCUAUAUCCCAACUCUUUAGGAUUACAUACAAACUUAUUUCUGCUACAUGUAUUCUGAGACAUUCCUCCAUGGAAGAAAGGGGUGUUGAUCUUUUCUUGUCUGACAAAAGUCUUCAAAGCCCAAAGACAACUGCUGGAAUGAAAUGCAACCUAUAGGACUGAUGGAAGAAUUGCUACCUGGACUUUCAAAUGGCAUGAAAAUAUAUGGACAUUCUAAAUACUGAAAAAGAAUAGGAAGCUGAUCAAGCAAUACUGGAUCUUCCUCUGCUCCACGAGGUACUAACAUUUUCUCCAGAAUAAAAUGUUUUUUCUUAUAAUUUUAGAAGUAGCCAGAGAUUUUAAACUUCUAACAAACCGGUAUACAAUAUCUCCUUUGCACAUUUUCUCAGAAAUCCCGGUGAUGUCCACGGUGCAAUAACAACU
rnacentral:sRNA from 1 species